GGCCCUCAAUCCCUCUGUUACUGUGUCACUAUACCCCACUCCCUCUAACAUGUAAACUCACUGAGCAGGGCCCUCAAUCCCUCUGUUACUGUGUCCCUAUACCCCACUCCCUCUAACAUGUAAACUCACUGAGCAGGGCCCUCAAUCCCUCUGUUACUGUGUCACUAUACCCCACUCCCUCUAACAUGUAAACUCACUGAGCAGGACCCUCAAUCCCU